rnacentral:lncRNA from 1 species
AGGGGAGAAUCCAGUGCUGCUCGACUUCCCGGCCGGGCCACCACAAGCCCUCUCCAUUCCGGCUGAGAGCAUCGCCUUCACAUUAGGAACUGAGCCCGGGAAGCCCCCGGCCUGUGCAUUGCCUUGGAGAACCCGAGGGGCGGGAGAGGAGGAGGUGGAGGAGGAGGAGAUCGAGCAUCCUUCUCGACCCUCCUCCUCCCCCUUCUCUCCCUUCUCCUCCUCAAAACCCCCUCCCCGACGCUUCCCGCGCACACUUUCCUCCUCCCCUGGCUUGCGCUCCCCCCCCCAUCUUCUCCCCAGGUCCCUCCUCCUGUCCCCCUCCCCUUCGGCUCCUUCCUCCUCCCACAGUAGCCGCUGCUUCCAAGGCGCUCGGAGAUGGGCAGCGAGAGCGCGCGUAGCAGCAGCACUAGCUUGGGGGCCGCCGCCGCCGCCACUGAUCUCCUCUUCCUCUGGGGCUGGACCACGCACCUCCCUCAGCACACCGCCGCCACGCAGUCCUCUCUCUUCGAGUCAAUGGCGCUUUCCGCCUAGGACGGUUUAUAAUGUGAGAGUUCAAGGAUUGGAUAACAGAUUGGCAUCACAUAAAAGCCAGCCCUCUAUUUCUGUCCCCUCGUAAUAAUCCAUGAUAUGUUCUUCAAAUUGGUUAAUUCUUGGCUGCUUUUAAUUAACUCCAUACUAUAAUGGGUGGAUUGGACAUGAGAAUUGCUGCCACAGUAUAAUCUUAUGGUAUUCCUGCAAUACACCUUGUGUGAUGUAAGUAAAAUUUAUUAUCUGAUAUUUUUGUUAUUUGGAACCUACAGCAAUAAUUUGAUAAGGCAGAAUAUUCUU